GUGCUCACUUCGGCAGCACAGAUACUAAAACUGGAAUGAUACAGAGAUUAGCAUGGCCUCUGCACAAGCAUGACAUACAAAUUUGUGAAACGUUCCAUUCUUUU
rnacentral:snRNA from 1 species